rnacentral:lncRNA from 1 species
GAAAACAGAAUGCUAAAUUAAGAGUUCCGAAAUCCCAUUUCACAACACACCUUCAUCCCAUGAUACUCAGAAAUUACAUGUUCACGCUAAGAUCAGUUUCGAGAGUUCUACUCACCCGAAUUCAAUUUCGUAAAGUCGUAUGGGUUUCUUAACGUCUUAGCAAUCUACUCAUAUGAUCAAAAUCAUAAUUAGAUCUCCCAUUUGUUACCAGAUUUCCCUA